GUCGAGAAUCUUCCGCAAUGGGCGAAAGCCUGACGGAGCAAUGCCGCGUGAGGGAUGACAGUCUUCGGACCGUAAACCUCUGUCACCCGGGACGAAAUCAAUGACGGUACCGGGAGAGGAAGCCAUGGCUAACUACGUGCCAGCAGCCGCGGUAAUACGUAGAUGGCGAGCGUUAUUCGGAUUUACUGGGCGUAAAGGGUCCGCAGGGGGCCUGUCAAGCCCGCCGUGAAACCCCGGGGCUCAACCCCGGGACUGCGGUGGGGACUGCCGGGCUAGAGUGUGUGAUGGGCAGACGGAACACCUGGUGUAGCGGUGGAAUGCGUAGAUAUCAGGUGGAACACCGAUGGCGAAGGCGGUCUGCUGGCACAUCACUGACCCUCAGGGACGAAAGCGUGGGUAGCGAACAGGAUUAGAAACCCCGGUAGUCC
rnacentral:rRNA from 1 species